rnacentral:lncRNA from 1 species
AGUGACACAUGGACUAGCUAACCGUAGCCCAAUAGUUGAAUGAGUGUUUGAGAUCACAACAAAGAAUAUUAGUAUGAAAACACAAGUGUACAGAUUUUCCCACAGAUUAGGUAGUUGUCAUUAAUACCGGUAUUACUGAUGCAAUAAGUUCAGGGAAAGUCGACCUAAUAGUAGGUCUUACAUCAUACCAUACAGAAAAGUUUGACAGUUCCUAGAUUCCUAGUUAGAGUACUGAAAGUUAGGAAUAUUUUUUACAGACAAGUGCUACUUAGAGCAUAGAUAUUAAAGGCUAUUCCUUAAUCAAAAGACAAAGAUGUACUAGACAUCUUCUAACGGCGAUGGGAAUUCCUUGGGCGAACCCUGAGGUCUGUCACUUGACGAAACACCUCUUGAAGGUGUCGCUCCUGAGCCCUCUGACGGGCUCGAAGUUCCAUGACUUCGGCUAGGGAGGCAGCCAACUGUUGCUGCAGGGUCUCAUUGGUCCUCUUGGUCCGUUCCAUGUCUUCUUCAAGACGGCGGAUGCGGACUGUGUUGACACCAGAUGUGGCAUCAAUCUCCAUGACCCGGUCGAUGGCUGCUCAACCUUGCUCAACAUUACGAGCUAUUCUGCGGAUAAUGACGCACAGAGCUCGGUCAGCAGAACCACCUUCGCUGACGUUGUAAAAGCUUUGGUCCCCAAAGUAAAGUAAGGGUUGAACCUGUUCGUCACUCCAGCGAUUCAAGUUGGUUGCCAACAAGGGAGUGAGACCUAGAAAAGUUGGUCGGGGGUUGUUGUUUGGGGCUUGACCUACUGGCGGUAGGUUGUGACUUCAGGCUCAGAGUCAGAUCCAUCAGAAAAGCCUUCUGCGAGGUGAUCAUCCAAAGGGAUUGGAUGCUCAUCUUCGGGCUCUUCUUCGAUCCACCCAGCAUUGCCUUUGUUGGGAAAGUACGGGUCGCCAUGAUGGAAUCCAACCAUUUAAUCUACGCGAGAACAGAGGUAUAAGAAUCUAGUGUAUAAAUAGCGUGUAGUAGCACAAAAUACUCCUAUAGUAUCUUAAGUUUAGAAAUCUACGCGAGAACAGAGGUAUAAGAAUCUAGUGUAUAAAUAGCGUGUAGUAGCACAAAAUACUCCUAUAGUAUCUUAAGUUUAGAUUCUACUGAUCUCUUUGUGGUAUUGUUG